rnacentral:rRNA from 1 species
UACGAGGGGGGCGAGCGUUGUUCGGAAUUAUUGGGCGUAAAGGGUGCGUAGGCGGUUUGGUAAGUCUUAUGUGAAAUCUACAGGCUCAACUUGUAGUCUGCAUUAGAAACUGCCGGGCUUGAGUAUGGGAGAGGUGAGUGGAAUUCCUGGUGUAGCGGUGAAAUGCGUAGAUAUCAGGAGGAACACCUGUGGCGAAAGCGGCUCACUGGACCAUAACUGACGCUGAUGCACGAAAGCUAGGGGAGCAAACAGG